rnacentral:sRNA from 1 species
GUAAAGCCCUGGAAAGUGAAGUCCUUUUUCUGUCCAUUAAUCAGGCAAAAGCUUCCCCAGCCGGGCUCCGUGCUGCUCUCCCAAUAUGCCUGUGCAGAGACCCGGGUGUGCCCUCUCCCGGGUGACAGGAUGGUUUUGUUUCCUUGUCCGUUUAUUUCAUGGCAUCU